rnacentral:Y_RNA from 1 species
GGCUGGUCUGAAGGUAGUGAGUUAUCUCACUUGAUUGUUCACAGUCAGUUACAGAUUGAACUCCUCCCCCCCACUACUGCACUUGAUUAGUCUAAA